rnacentral:rRNA from 1 species
GGGUUGUGAGGUUAAGCGACUAAGCGUACACGGUGGAUGCCCUGGCAGUCAGAGGCGAUGAAGGACGUGCUAAUCUGCGAUAAGCGUCGGUAAGGUGAUAUGAACCGUUAUAACCGGCGAUUUCCGAAUGGGGAAACCCAGUGUGAUUCGUCACACUAUCAUUAACUGAAUCCAUAGGUUAAUGAGGCGAACCGGGGGAACUGAAACAUCUAAGUACCCCGAGGAAAAGAAAUCAACCGAGAUUCCCCCAGUAGCGGCGAGCGAACGGGGAGCAGCCCAGAGCCUGAAUCAGUGUGUGUGUUAGUGGAAGCGUCUGGAAAGGCGCGCGAUACAGGGUGACAGCCCCGUACACAAAAAUGCACAUACUGUGAGCUCGAUGAGUAGGGCGGGACACGUGGUAUCCUGUCUGAAUAUGGGGGGACCAUCCUCCAAGGCUAAAUACUCCUGACUGACCGAUAGUGAACCAGUACCGUGAGGGAAAGGCGAAAAGAACCCCGGCGAGGGGAGUGAAAAAGAACCUGAAACCGUGUACGUACAAGCAGUGGGAGCACGCUUCGGCGUGUGACUGCGUACCUUUGUAUAAUGGGUCAGCGACUUAUAUUCUGUAGCAAGGUUAACCGAAUAGGGAGCCGAAGGGAAACCGAGUCUUAACUGGGCGUUAAGUUGCAGGGUAUAGACCCGAAACCCGGUGAUCUAGCCAUGGGCAGGUUGAAGGUUGGGUAACACUAACUGGAGGACCGAACCGACUAAUGUUGAAAAAUUAGCGGAUGACUUGUGGCUGGGGUGAAAGGCCAAUCAAACCGGGAGAUAGCUGGUUCUCCCCGAAAGCUAUUUAGGUAGCGCCUCGUGAAUUCAUCUCCGGGGUAGAGCACUGUUUCGGCAAGGGGGUCAUCCCGACUUACCAACCCGAUGCAAACUGCGAAUACCGGAGAAUGUUAUCACGGGAGACACACGGCGGGUGCUAACGUCCGUCGUGAAGAGGGAAACAACCCAGACCGCCAGCUAAGGUCCCAAAGUCAUGGUUAAGUGGGAAACGAUGUGGGAAGGCCCAGACAGCCGAGGAUGUUGGCUUAGAAGCAGCCAUCAUUUAAAGAAAGCGUAAUAGCUCACUGGUCGAGUCGGCCUGCGCGGAAGAUGUAACGGGGCUAAACCAUGCACCGAAGCUGCGGCAGCGACACUAUGUGUUGUUGGGUAGGGGAGCGUUCUGUAAGCCUGUGAAGGUGUGCUGUGAGGCAUGCUGGAGGUAUCAGAAGUGCGAAUGCUGACAUAAGUAACGAUAAAGCGGGUGAAAAGCCCGCUCGCCGGAAGACCAAGGGUUCCUGUCCAACGUUAAUCGGGGCAGGGUGAGUCGACCCCUAAGGCGAGGCCGAAAGGCGUAGUCGAUGGGAAACAGGUUAAUAUUCCUGUACUUGGUGUUACUGCGAAGGGGGGACGGAGAAGGCUAUGUUGGCCGGGCGACGGUUGUCCCGGUUUAAGCGUGUAGGCUGGUUUUCCAGGCAAAUCCGGAAAACUAAGGCUGAGGCGUGAUGACGAGGCACUACGGUGCUGAAGCAACAAAUGCCCUGCUUCCAGGAAAAGCCUCUAAGCAUCAGGUAACAUCAAAUCGUACCCCAAACCGACACAGGUGGUCAGGUAGAGAAUACCAAGGCGCUUGAGAGAACUCGGGUGAAGGAACUAGGCAAAAUGGUGCCGUAACUUCGGGAGAAGGCACGCUGAUAUGUAGGUGAAGCGACUUGCUCGUGGAGCUGAAAUCAGUCGAAGAUACCAGCUGGCUGCAACUGUUUAUUAAAAACACAGCACUGUGCAAACACGAAAGUGGACGUAUACGGUGUGACGCCUGCCCGGUGCCGGAAGGUUAAUUGAUGGGGUUAGCGGUAACGCGAAGCUCUUGAUCGAAGCCCCGGUAAACGGCGGUACCGUAACUAUAACGGUCCUAAGGUAGCGAAAUUCCUUGUCGGGUAAGUUCCGACCUGCACGAAUGGCGUAAUGAUAUAAAGCUGUCUCCACCCGAGACUCAGUGAAAUUGAACUCGCUGUGAAGAUGCAGUGUACCCGCGGCAAGACGGAAAGACCCGUGAACCUUUACUAUAGCUUGACACUGAACAUUGAGCCUUGAUGUGUAGGAUAGGUGGGAGGCUUUGAAGUGUGGACGCCAGUCUGCAUGGAGCCGACCUUGAAAUACCACCCUUUAAUGUUUGAUGUUCUAACGUUGACCCGUGAUCCGGGUUGCGGACAGUGUCUGGUGGGUAGUUUGACUGGGGCGGUCUCCUCCUAAAGAGUAACGGAGGAGCACGAAGGUUGGCUAAUCCCUGGUCGGACAUCAGGAGGUUAGUGCAAUGGCAUAAGCCAGCUUGACUGCGAGCGUGACGGCGCGAGCAGGUGCGAAAGCAGGUCAUAGUGAUCCGGUGGUUCUGAAUGGAAGGGCCAUCGCUCAACGGAUAAAGGUACUCCGGGGAUAACAGGCUGAUACCGCCCAAGAGUUCAUAUCGACGGCGGUGUUUGGCACCUCGAUGUCGGCUCAUCACAUCCACGGGGCUGAAGUAGGUCCCAAGGGUAUGGCUGUUCGCCAUUUAAAGUGGUACGCGAGCUGGGUUUAGAACGUCGUGAGACAGUUCGGUCCCUAUCUGCCGUGGGCGCUGGAGAACUGAGGGGGGCUACUCCUAGUACGAGAGGACCGGAGUGGACGCAUCACUGGUGUUCGGGUUGUCAUGCCAAUGGCACUGCCCGGUAGCUAAAUGCGGAAGAGAUAAGUGCUGAAAGCAUCUAAGCACGAAACUUGCCCCGAGAUGAGUUCUCCUGACUCCCUGAGAGUCCUGAAGGAACGUUGAAGACGACGACGUUGAUAGGCCGGGUGUGUAAGCGCAGCGAUGCGUUGAGCUAACCGGUACUAAUGAACCGUGAGGCUUAACCUUACAACGCCGAAGGUGUUU